GACGAACGCUGGCGGCAUGCCUAAUACAUGCAAGUCGAGCGGAUUGAUGGGGAGCUUGCUCCCUGAUAUUAGCGGCGGACGGGUGAGUAACACGUGGGCAACCUGCCCUACAGAUGGGGAUAACUCCGGGAAACCGGGGCUAAUACCGAAUAAUCAGUUGGUUCGCAUGAACUGACUCUGAAAGACGGUUUCGGCUGUCACUGUAGGAUGGGCCCNCGGCGCAUUAGCAGUUGGUGGGGUAAUGGCCUACCAAGGCGACGAUGCGUAGCCGACCUGAGAGGGUGAUCGGCCACACUGGGACUGAGACACGGCCCAGACUCCUACGGGAGGCAGCAGUAGGGAAUCUUCCACAAUGGACGAAAGUCUGAUGGAGCAAUGCCGCGUGAGCGAAGAAGGUUUUCGGAUCGUAAAGCUCUGUUGUAAGGGAAGAACACGUACGGGAGUAACUGCCCGUACCUUGACGGUACCUUAUUAGAAAGCCACGGCU
rnacentral:rRNA from 1 species